AAUUUACGUAAUAUAUCUUAAUCUAAAACUUAUUAACUUUUAAAUAAUACUUAAUUUCAAUAUAAAUAUAAAAACUUUCGAAUAAACUCUUAUCCAUUAAUAUUCCCUAAAAUCAAAAAUUCUCUAAUAUUCUCAAAUUUUAAACUUAAACCUCCUACCUCUAAUUUUCAAUCUUAUUCUUACAAUAACCUCAAAACUUCUCUAUCUAUACUACACAAAUAAAAA
rnacentral:misc_RNA from 1 species